UACAGAGGGUGCAAGCGUUAAUCGGAAUUACUGGGCGUAAAGCGUGCGUAGGUGGUUUGUUAAGUCUGCUGUGAAAGCCCUGGGCUCAACCUGGGAAUGGCGGUGGAUACUGACAAGCUAGAGUGCGGUAGAGGAGGGUGGAAUUCCCGGUGUAGCGGUGAAAUGCGUAGAGAUCGGGAGGAACAUCAGUGGCGAAGGCGGCCCUCUGGACCAGCACUGACGCUGAGGCACGAAAGCGUGGGGAGCAAACAGG
rnacentral:rRNA from 1 species